CCUCGGCAGGCUGACAGCCACCUGCACAGGGAAGCGAAGCAGGGAGAGGACUUUUCUUACUGCUCAGGACCCUGGGUCUCCCUUUCUCAAUCCUUCCGAUGAAGGAAGUGGUAACUGAGGUGAUUAUGACGGAAACAGCGGUCAGUCCACGCUUCCUCCGUGCGGCUGUUGGUGCCUUACAGACACCGGAGCCUCUGGGCGACCCUCUGCCUUGUGCACCCCUUAUAAUUACCAUCCCUGCUUACAGAUGAGCAAACCGGUUCUCGGAGAAGUCGAGUGACGCUCUCCAAAUCACACAGCAGACAUAAGGCAUCAGGGAAACUCAAAGGGCACACCGAACAGCGUUGUCCCUGGCCAGAUGGUGGGCAUCCGCACCCGGGAUCAACACACCCCUGGCCGCCCCCAAUCCCGACUGUCAAGAGACCAGAGUCCAGAGCAGAUCGGCACAGGUGCAAGCAAAACUGGGUGGAAAACAAGAGAAACAGAAGGAAAUGAAUCUCGGGAGGUGAAACUGGACUAUGGGUGUGCGCUGGCAAGUUGGGGCAGAAGAGGCUGUGUGCGAGCCAGGGGUGUGUGCAGGCAGGGAGGUGACAAGAGGCAGCGGGCGUGACCUCAUAGGAACUGUGUAUCCAUUAGAGGUGCUUGUCGCCAUGGAGACCAGACACAUGGGCGAGCCGGCCCAGGGAGGCAGAAAUAAAGGAGCUGUAAGGGACGGAUGUUCAAGGAGAGACAGAGUUACACGUUAACGUUGCCGAAGCCUUGGGGUGCAGGCAACUGCCAGGGUGUCCGCGGGAGAGGUGCCGCCGGGCAAGGACAGGAGCUGCAUGCCAGGGGGCUUCUGAGCUGGAUCGUCAGGAGGCAGUUCACAUCCGCUGUUCUGGGGCCUCAGACACUGACAGCGCGACAGGAGCCGUCCAGCUUGGCUCUGGCUACAGACGCGGUGGCCGCAGCCGGGCCUCACCUGCCGCAGCAAAACAGCUGUUCUCGCGGCCUGGGAAAACACCAGCCUGGAGGAGCCAGCGAGAGUUCCCCAGGCCUGAGAUCGGUGGCCUUAAUCUUCGAGAAGUGUACACAUGCACGCACACGUGCACGGGGUUGUGUGUGUGCUGGCGAGUGUGUUACGGCAGGUUAAGUGUUCAAUUCCCAUUUUUUAAAUUUAAUUGUUUUUCAGAGAGAGAGAGAGUGUGAGCGUGGGGAAGGGACAGGGAGAGAGGGAGACAUAGGAUCUGAAGCAGGCUCUGGGCUCUGAGCUGU
rnacentral:lncRNA from 1 species